GACUCAAAAGAAUGAUUCAAGCAAAAUCAGGCAUCGCUCGGUGAGCGUGUGGUGUCUUUACGCUGUUCUACUUUGAAAAGAACGCAGUGAGUCUACUUUUCAUUAUUGAUCAGUCUGAAGUUUAACUUUUAUCACCGUGAUCGCCAUCUUUAGCUGAAAAGUUGUUCAUCCGCGACUUUGACACUCAAGCACUCAGGUGUCCGUUCCGAUACAAGUAUGACUUCCACCAUGACUAGCAUUGUACAUAGUGUGACAGAUGUUGCCGCAAAUACUACAGCUGCUACACCACAAACAGACUCGACUGUAAUAGGAGUGGUAAUUGCCCUGAUCCUGGUGACCCUCGCUCUCUGUGGAUUCCUGUUGUACCGAUACCUGUGCCACAGUAAGGGUGUUUACAGAACUGCAGGUGAGCCGGCGCCAGGAGUAGACCCAGAACAAGUCUAUAAUGACACCGUCACAGACAACAAGAAGGAAUACUUCAUCUGAACUGCUUAGCAUCAUAGGGAUUCGACCAAUGAUCUGGCUAAAAAUGCAUGGAUUGCUUCAGACAUCUAAAUAGUCAAUGUAGAGAGGUUUAUAUGCAAGGACAUAUGGGACAUAAGCCACUAGCCUGUGCUGUGAGGAAGAAUGCUUAGUUGAAUGGAUACUGUUUGAGUUCAGUUUGAGCCAUAAGUAAAAUGAGCUGUUUAUUUAUGAUGUCAAUAAGCUCACCAUCAAUUUUGGUAUGGUAAAGUUACUCUCAGUUACUGGGACAAUCUUCUUCUUUUUUUGUUAUAAAAUUGUUAUGCCUGUACAUAGUUUAUAGUCCAAUCCAAACUAUGUAUUCGCUACUUCAGCAGAAAUUACACAGUUCAUAUGCAUGAGUUAUAUUAUCAGGUAUUAUUAGAAGUCUGCUUACAUAAGUGGUAAAUGCUAAACAUUAGAGGCACCGUACAAACAAGAUUUUGAGUCACUUAGAAGUCACUUAGUGUUCAUUUGUGGCUUUACAAAUUUCUUUUUUCUCUUUGACCAUUUAGCCUGGCUUUUUUUAUUAUUUAUUAAUGGCAGCAUUUUUAGAUUUUUUAUGUUUUAUAAUUCAAGUUGUACAAAGCCAUGCUGUAACGGUGCCAAAUAUAAUUAUCUUUUUCAUUAUUUGUAAAACAGACAGAUGCUGAUCAUAAUGUCAAACACGUAUGAUACUGUAUAUUUUUCUGUGCAGGGUUACAUUUUUAUCUUAAGAAAAUGAAUGUAAUUUAUAUUGGAUUUUGAUUCUUUUUUUAUUGCACUAUCAAUACGUUACUGUGGUUAAUGAAGAUAACACCAUGUCAAAUACAAGUGGCAUGUUAGUUCAAAUUUGCUAGUAAAACUUAAUUUAAUUUGUCUACAAGACAUCCAUGCAACUAUUUAAGCCUCUGAAUUGUAAUUUAUAACAAUAAUCAAUUUCCAAGAUCUAUAUACGGUCUUGCUUUGGAUUAAAUGUGAAUUUCAAGAGACAUUUAGUCAAACAUUUGUUGUAAUCUAGAGAUAAACCUUCACAUAAACCAGUCAGCAGGCAAAAAUUUCCACACCAAACGGUGAAAGACAUAUUACAACACAGAUGUUCAAAAUUCAAAAUAGCUUUUAUUCUAAAUUUUGUUUUAUACUUAAGGUUUAGUAUAAAAAAAGUUAAGUGCACCACAUUAUUCACUGGAGAUCAUUUUGUCAUGUAGCAAACUAGGAAGGACCUCGGUUCCAUGAUGCUGCAGUAUGCAUCCAUUAUAACCCAUCACAAUUAUUUUAUAUUAUAUAUAUAGAAAAAAAAAAUUAAAAGGGUUCCCUGAACUGUAGUGCCCACAAACACGUAUACCAUCCGUGACUGUCAUGGUAUUGAGGCUCAAGAUAAGCAGUGUAUCCGCUACAUUGCAUACACAAACACACGGUGGCACAUGCCAAGAUAAAAUGCUGCGCUAAAAUUGAAACAGAUAAGAGUUCUGAAGACUUUGCCCUCAUGUUUUUUUUUUUUGCCUUGAGUUAUUUUCAUAGCAAAGUAAAAAUAAAUGAAAUGGGAUUUGAAUACGUAAUAAAAAGUCAGGUUAGGAAUAACCAGGUCAGAAGUUUCAAACUCAAAUAACCAACAUGAGAAGUCACGGAAAAUUAUAUAAAUGGUGCUAAGGCAAUGCCAGCAUACUUGGCAUGUUUUUUUUAAAAAGACAUCAGAAUUUUUUGCUUUUUUUCUUUAUUUGCAGAUAGAAAAUCUACCUUAAUGUUUUUUUUAUUCAGAUGGGCAAAGCCUUUAGAACUAUAGUGUCGGAUACCCAGUGAUGCACCUGAUACACAUAAAGCCUAAAAAGUAGCCCCAUUUGCCAAGCUAUCAUGAAAUUCCCUAUUUUUUUUUUUGUUUCAUUUUUUUUUUAACCAAUCAGAAAAUAUAUACGACAAAAUGGCAAAAAAAUACCAGUGAAUGUAUGGAGAAUAAACUCAAGUGAGCAUUUUUAAGCAUUUCACCUCCAUUAUCUAGCAAAAAAAGCAGCACUUUAAAUUACAGUCACAUAUAAUACAGGUAACUGCUACAGAAUUGUAGUGUCAAGCAGACUUUUGAAGAGCAUUCCAGCACUGCUGGGAGUAGAAAUGAGGAUUUAGCAAUUAAAUAAAUUACAAGAGCAAAAAGUGGUGGAGACAACUGCUGGUGUAACUCGGUGAGGUUUUCCUUUCAUGUCAGGAAAAACAUUUUAAGUCACGUUACAGAUGUGAUGAAAACUGUAAUCCCUUGUGAAACAUUAACAAAUCAACACCCGAACACAAGCCGUUGUGUAUGCUACUACGUAUUACCG